CAACUAGAAGUCCUUGUGUUCAGUCUAGCAAUAAACCCAUCAAAGAUGCUCCUCGCUUUGAUUGCGGCUUUCUGGCUGUUUUGUCUUUGUUUGUUUAUUCAUAUUUUGAGACUGGGUGUGGUGGUUUGAAUGAGAAUGGCCCCCUUGCGCUCAUACGCGCAUAUAUUUGAAUGCUUGGUUCUGUUAACGGAACUAUUUGGGAAAGAUUAGGAGGUGGGGCCUUGUUACCGGAGGUGUGUCACUGGGGAUGGGCCUUGAGGUUAUCCUUGUGCCUGUUGUCUGUAGAUCAGGAUUUAAAGCUUCCAGCUCCGUAUCUGCUGCCUAGCGCCAUGCUUCCUGCCUUGAUGGUAAUGAACUAACCUUCUGAAAGUGUAAAGAAGGCCCUAAUUAAAUGCUUCCUUUCAUCAGA
rnacentral:lncRNA from 1 species